AGUCGAGCGGAGAUGAGGUGCUUGCACCUUAUCUUAGCGGCGGACGGGUGAGUAAUGCUUAGGAAUCUGCCUAUUAGUGGGGGACAACAUUCCGAAAGGGAUGCUAAUACCGCAUACGUCCUACGGGAGAAAGCAGGGGAUCUUCGGACCUUGCGCUAAUAGAUGAGCCUAAGUCGGAUUAGCUAGUUGGUGGGGUAAAGGCCUACCAAGGCGACGAUCUGUAGCGGGUCUGAGAGGAUGAUCCGCCACACUGGGACUGAGACACGGCCCAGACUCCUACGGGAGGCAGCAGUGGGGAAUAUUGGACAAUGGGGGGAACCCUGAUCCAGCCAUGCCGCGUGUGUGAAGAAGGCCUUAUGGUUGUAAAGCACUUUAAGCGAGGAGGAGGCUACUGAGACUAAUACUCUUGGAUAGUGGACGUUACUCGCAGAAUAAGCACCGGCUAACUCUGUGCCAGCAGCCGCGGUAAUACAGAGGGUGCGAGCGUUAAUCGGAUUUACUGGGCGUAAAGCGUGCGUAGGCGGCUUUUUAAGUCGGAUGUGAAAUCCCCGAGCUUAACUUGGGAAUUGCAUUCGAUACUGGGAAGCUAGAGUAUGGGAGAGGAUGGUAGAAUUCCAGGUGUAGCGGUGAAAUGCGUAGAGAUCUGGAGGAAUACCGAUGGCGAAGGCAGCCAUCUGGCCUAAUACUGACGCUGAGGUACGAAAGCAUGGGGAGCAAACAGGAUUAGAUACCCUGGUAGUCCAUGCCGUAAACGAUGUCUACUAGCCGUUGGGGCCUUUGAGGCUUUAGUGGCGCAGCUAACGCGAUAAGUAGACCGCCUGGGGAGUACGGUCGCAAGACUAAAACUCAAAUGAAU
rnacentral:rRNA from 1 species